UACGAGGGGGGCAAAUGUUGUUCGGAAUCACUGGGCGUAAAGGGAGCGUAGGCGGGCUUCUAAGUUAGGUGUUUAAUCCCGGGGCCCAACCCCGGUCGUGCACCUAAAACUAGGGAGUCUUGAAUAGUGGAGAGGUCAGUGGAAUUGGGGGUGUAGCGGUGGAAUGCGUAGAGAUCCCCAAGAACACCAGUUGCGAAGGCGGCUGACUGGACACAUAUUGACGCUGAGGCUCGAAAGCAUGGGGAGCAAACAGGG
rnacentral:rRNA from 1 species